ACUAGAUUCUGUAAGAGGCUUAUAGAGAGUGGAAAUUGGGUACAUCGGUAUGUUUAUCUUAUAACCUGCAGGAGGUGCAUUUAGAAAGAAUUUUUUAAACGGCCGUCGUUGUGGUACACUAGGCUCUCGUUCCUUUCCUGUCGCAGAACUGGGUAAGGGGGAGGUGGACAUGGAAGUAGAAUCGUCGUUCUUAUAUCCCAGGGUACCCG